GACGAACGCUGGCGGCGUGCUUAACACAUGCCAGUCGAACGGAAAGGCCCUGCUUUUGUGGGGUGCUCGAGUGGCGAACGGGUGAGUAACACGUGAGUAACCUGCCCUUGACUUUGGGAUAACUUCAGGAAACUGGGGCUAAUACCGGAUAGGAGCUCCUGCUGCAUGGUGGGGGUUGGAAAGUUUCGGCGGUUGGGGAUGGACUCGCGGCUUAUCAGCUUGUUGGUGGGGUAGUGGCUUACCAAGGCUUUGACGGGUAGCCGGCCUGAGAGGGUGACCGGCCACAUGGGGACUGAGAUACGGCCCAGACUCCUACGGGAGGCAGCAGUGGGGAAUAUUGCACAAUGGGCGGAAGCCUGAUGCAGCAACGCCGCGUGCGGGAUGACGGCCUUCGGGUGGUAAACCGCUUUCGCCUGUGACGAAGCGUGAGUGACGGUAAUGGGGAAAGAAGCACCGGCGAACUACGU
rnacentral:rRNA from 1 species